rnacentral:rRNA from 1 species
UAAUACGGAGGGUGCAAGCGUUAUCCGGAUUUACUGGGUUUAAAGGGUGCGUAGGCGGGCAGGUAAGUCAGUGGUGAAAUCCCCGAGCUCAACUUGGGAACUGCCGUUGAUACUAUCUGUCUUGAAUACCGUGGAGGUGAGCGGAAUAUGUCAUGUAGCGGUGAAAUGCUUAGAUAUGACAUAGAACACCGAUUGCGAAGGCAGCUCACUACGCGGUCAUUGACGCUGAGGCACGAAAGCGUGGGGAUCAAACAGGAUUAGAUACCCUGGUAGUCCACGCCCUAAACGAUGAUCACUCGACACCAGCGAUAUACUGUUGGUGUCUGAGCUAAAGCAUUAAGUGAUCCACCUGGGAAGUACGAUCGCAAGAUUG